CUUAAAGGAAUUGACGGGGGCCCGCACAAGCGGAGGAACAUGUGGUUUAAUUCGAUGAUACGCGAGGAACCUUACCCGGGCUUGAAUUGCAGAGGAACAUAGUUGAAAGAUUAUGGCCGCAAGGUCUCUGUGAAGGUGCUGCAUGGUUGUCGUCAGCUCGUGCCGUGAGGUGUCGGCUUAAGUGCCAUAACGAGCGCAACCCUUAUCAUUAGUUACUAACAGGUCAUGCUGAGGACUCUAGUGAGACUGCCGUCGUAAGAUGUGAGGAAGGUGGGGAUGACGUCAAAUCAGCACGGCCCUUACGUCCGGGGCUACACACGUGUUACAAUGGGGGGUACAGAGGGCAGCUACCGGGCGACCGGAUGCCAAUCCCAAAAACCUCUCUCAGUUCGGAUCGAAGUCUGCAACCCGACUUCGUGAAGCUGGAUUCGCUAGUAAUCGCGCAUCAGCCACGGCGCGGUGAAUACGUUCCCGGGCCUUGUACACACCGCCCGUCAAGCCAUGGGAGCCGGGGGUACCUGAAGUACGUAACCGCAAGGAGCGUCCUAGGGUAAAACUGGUGACUGGGGCUAAGUCGUAACAAGGUAGCCGUACCGGAAG
rnacentral:rRNA from 1 species